rnacentral:rRNA from 1 species
GAUGAACGCUAGCUACAGGCUUAACACAUGCAAGUCGAGGGACCGGCGCACGGGUGAGUAACACGUAUCCAACCUGCCCUUUACUCGGGGAUAGCCUUUCGAAAGAAAGAUUAAUACCCGAUAUAAAGGAUGGGGAUGCGUUCCAUUAGGUUGUUGGUGAGGUAACGGCCCACCAAGCCUUCGAUGGAUAGGGGUGAUGAGAGGAAGGUCCACGACAUUGGAAUGGGGACACGGUCCAAACUCAUACGGGAGGCAGCAGGGAGGAAUAUUGGUCAAUGGGCGUUAGCCUAACCCAGCCAAGUAGCGUGAAGGAUGAAGGAUUAUGGGUCGUAAACUUCUUUUAUAUAAGAAUAUGUAUUAAAUGAAUAAGUAUCGGCUAACUCCGUGCCAGCAGCCGCGGUAAUUC